GAAGGAAGGAAGGAAGGAAGGAAGGAAGGAAGGAGAAAAAUCAAAAAUAAAAGGAAAAGCAAGGAAGUCGAAAGAGAGACGGGAAGACAAACAUCAGGCGCGCUGUCUGGCUGGGUUUGGUCUCAGGGGCCGGGAUUGGCACCCCGAGCUGAGCGCCCUCCCGAGCAUCCCGCUGCAGUGCCCGCCUCUCGCUGUCACCGCGGCUCUCCUGUCCUGACGUUCUCCCCCAACACACGAAAACUCCUGCAUUUAUCCUUCUCCUUUUCCUUCUUUUAUUUCCCUACCACAAAUUUGCCAACCGAGCACCAUUUCUCGGUAAAAUUCAAUUUCACGAGUGCAGGCUGCAUCGAGCGCGCCGGGUCCUGCCGCAGCGGGACGGGGCAUUUGCCGGGACCGCUGGAGGUUUCACAGUCUCACAGCGGCAAAAGUCAGAUUUCUUAUUAAAAACAAAAG